UACGAAGGGGGCUAGCGUUGCUCGGAAUCACUGGGCGUAAAGCGCACGUAGGCGGCUUGUUAAGUCAGGGGUGAAAUCCUGGAGCUCAACUCCAGAACUGCCUUUGAUACUGAGGAUCUUGAGUUCGGGAGAGGUGAGUGGAACUGCGAGUGUAGAGGUGAAAAUUCGUAGAUAUUCGCAAGAACACCAGUGGCGAAGGCGGCUCACUGGCCCGAUACUGACGCUGAGGCACGAAAGCGUGGGGAGCAAACAGG
rnacentral:rRNA from 1 species